rnacentral:tRNA from 1 species
GGAGGGACAAGCCAAAUGGCGAUGGCAGCUGUUUCGAAAACAGUCGAGCAUGCGUGAGUAUGCCUUGAGGGUUCGAAUCCCUUUCCUUCCG